UCAAGAAGCUGAACAGAGAUUGCCGUGCCAUCAUCCCACCAACCAUCGUAUCCUGGAAAAAUCUGUCCGGACCCAUUAGACAUUGAAGCUGGAACACUGUCUGGUCUAACUCCAGAAGAAGCAGG